rnacentral:rRNA from 1 species
GGGCUUGACAUCCCACGAACCUGCCCGAAAGGGUAGGGUGCCCUCAAGGGAGCAUGGAGACAGGUGGUCCAUGGAUGUCGUCAGCUCGUGUCGUGAGAUGAAGGGUUAAGUCGCGCAACGGGCGCAACCCUCACCCCUUGUUGCCACCGUUUUAUGCCGAGCACUCUAAGGGAACUACCAGUGUCAAGCUGGAGGAAAGCGGGGAUGACGACAAGUCAUCAUGCCCCUUACGCCCUGGGCGACACACGUGCUACAAUGGCUGGUACAAAGGCAUGCAUGACCGCGACGUUGAGCUGAUCCCAAACAACCGGUCUAAGUUCAGAUUGCAGUCUGGAACUCGACUGCAUUAAAAAGGAAUCGCUAUUAAUCCCCCCUCUGCACGGCGCGGUGAAUACGUUCCCGGGCCUUGUACACACCGCCCGUCACACCACGAAAGCCGGCUGUACUCGAAGUCGCUGAG